ACGGGUGAGUAACACGUAGGUAACCUACCCUUCAGUGGGGGACAACAGAGGGAAACUUCUGCUAAUACCGCAUACGAUCACGGACUGGGAUGUUCGUGGUGAAAGGAUUCAUUCGCUGAGGGAUGGGCCUGCGGCCUAUCAGGUAGUUGGUGGGGUAAUGGCCUACCAAGCCUGCGACGGGUAGCCGGACUGAGAGGUCGAUCGGCCACACUGGAACUGAGACACGGUCCAGACUCCUACGGGAGGCAGCAGUGGGGAAUAUUGCACAAUGGGGGAAACCCUGAUGCAGCGACGCCGCGUGGAGGAUGACGGCCUUCGGGUUGUAAACUCCUUUUGUCGGGGACAAUGGUGAUGGUACCCGACGAAUAAGCCACGGCUAACUCUGUGCCAGCAGCCGCGGUAAGACAGAGGUGGCGAGCGUUGUUCGGAAUUACUGGGCUUAAAGGGCGCGUAGGCGGUGGUGUAAGUCUAGGGUGGAAUGCUACAGCUCAACUGUAGAGCUGCCUUGGAAACUGCAUUACUUGAGUCGGUGAGGGGAAGGUGGAAUUCCAGGU
rnacentral:rRNA from 1 species